rnacentral:lncRNA from 1 species
CGGGCCCUGAGAAUUGGCUCGGAGCGCGAAGGGGUGAGUGAUAGUCAUCUCUGAACUCUGAGACCCUGAGCAGCAGGAAGAUGGUGAAUAAAUGCAAGCCCCAGCUAUACAAUUACAACCUAGCCUGAGAGGAGGAAGACGCCAGGAGGUGCAACUUCAGGUCCCAGGCGCCUCGCAACCAGCUUGCUCAUCUCAGGGUCCGCGAGACUGGGAUUUACACAAGCAGCACAGCAGAGGCACUCACUGAACAAAGCCCAUAGGGGUCCCUGCCUGGUCCUCACCAUGCCCGAUAGCUUUGAUCUCCACUGUCUUGGGGAUCUUCUCCUCCCGGUUCCAGCUGGAGGCCUUGCGGCUCACUUGGGAUUUGAAGAGCGUGUUGACCAGCGUUGAUUUGCCCAGUCCACUCUGGCCUACAGCAAAGCAGGAGGAGGAGAUGCAUAUCUGCAGAAGACUUCAUUUCAAG